AAUCGCUAUAAGCCUAAUCCAUUGUUCAAGUUAGUUUAUUUCAUAUCAGUUUUAAAAAUAUAACCUCACGGGUUAAUUAUAAAUAUUGUGAUGUGUACAUUGUAGUAUUACAGUAGAGGACAGGAUGAAUAUGAAAUGUGCUAAAUAGUUGCUUAUUCUGCUCUGCAGAAAUCUCUCCGAGUGAGAGACUAAGUGAGUUAACUGAUAUAGUAUGGAGCUCCAGUGGAAGCGACUUCUCAGAUGAUGACGAUAAGACUUUGACUUCAAGGUUUCCUAGUCUGAAAGUGGAGAAGUACAGAAAACAUGGCUUGAUCUCCAGGGAUGGUGAAUCACACACCAUUGAUUGGGACAAUGAUAGCGAGUGUGAAGAUAAUGUUGACCAGCGCAGUGAAUCAAAAACUGAUGGUACUUCUUUGGACAUAUCAGACACUGAUUCUUGUACAGACAGCAAUAUUAUGUCUGAUGAAGAAAAGGAACACGAACCUUCAAAGACAAUUUCUUUAGAAAUUUCAGAAUAUUCAUCAGACAGUGAAAGUCUGGAAAAAUGCCAAGCAGAAACUAAAGCUGCUGAUUUAGAAUUCCAUAAAAAGCCCCAGUUCAAUUUUGGAGCAGGGAUUGAAACAGAUACAGGAAGGUCAGCAAGUGACUGGUUAAAAUCUGCUCAGAUGCUUCUACAGACACCAGAGAAAAAGAGAGACAAGAGCUUGAAGACUCCAGAGGAUUCUGCAAAGAAAAGAAAAUUUCUGAGGUAUAUAUGUUAUUUUUUUUCCAUUGUAGCAUUCUGGUAAUAAUAACGAGUAGUUUCAACAUGAGCAAAAUCUAAGAGUUUUAACAUUCAAAGGCUUUUUGAAAGGGUUGGCCAUUUUAAAUCAUUAAUCGUGCCAUUUUAAGUCACUGUAAGUCAUGAGUUAAUUCAUUUUUAGCUCUCUAGUGAUAUAUAUGUAUACAGUUUUUCAAAGCAUUCACACAGUCACUGCAGCAAAUCAUCUUAUGAUGAGUUUACUACAAUAACCACCAUCUUAACAUUUCCUUCUGCAGUGCUGAUUCAAAUAUUUCUAUCUUACACAACUGCCAUAUCUGUUUUUCAUAUAGAUAAUUACUUAUCUGAAUUUUGAACACAAUAUUUGUUGUUCAUUUGAAAGUGCUAAGUUCCAUUCACAUUGUGCGCCAUAAUUAUAUUGUUUGGAAGUGUGGGUGGGGCUGUUGUCGUUGGGUAAGUGUGAAGUAAAAUUAGCAAUAGUACACCACACCAUCACGUUAAUAUUUUCAUAGAUGUGAGUCAUAUAUUUGAACAAAUUACCGUGGAUAAUGAUGAUCAAUUUUAUAGCAUUUCCCCCCCUGUAAAGUUACUCACAUUUUAGUAGUGCUGGUCUUAGCUUUUCUCCACAUUGUAAUAUUUGUGAUAGAAAACAAAACAAAACUUUCAUAUUGUUAUAUAAACAUGCUUUCUGCUGUUGAAUAGUUAAACACUAAUAUCUGACCCCUUUUAAUAGACCUUAUCAAACUUGUAGAAAUACAGAAUGUUCCAAAAUACCACACAGUUAAAACAAAGUCUUUUUCCUGUGAGAUGAGCCAUAACUUUGAAAGUAAAAUGCAUUCUACAGGAAAACAGAGCACUGAAAUUAAAUGGAUUUUUAGUUGAAUGGCACAAGUGCGUUUCUGUUAAUUGAAUAAGUUAACAUGCUACCAGUCUCAUAGAUGCCCUUCUUUUUCUUCCUAUUCCAGUCAAUUCAUUCUUUGAGUCCCUUCAUAGCAUAUCUCUCAAUGCUGUAAGCAACUCAGUGCUGUAAGCACCUGCUUUGUAUGCAAAAGGCUCUAGAUUCAGUCCCUGGCAUCUCCAGGUGGGAUGGGAUAAGCGUCUAUCUGAAACCCUGGAGAGCCACAGCUAAAUGGAGCAAUGCUCAGAGUGUGUAUUAGGCCACACCCUAUGCUUAUGAGAGGGCAAAGUAAGAAAUGGCUCUGCAAACCUCUUUUGAGAAGAAAUUAAGAGGUAGAUAAAUGUCAAAACUUCACUGUGCUCUACACAACAUACCAUUGCGCAGAUAUAGCACCGUAGUUUGGUGAUUGAGUGCAUCUGGUAUGUUCUGACUCUCUUCCCUCUCACUCCUAUAGUUGGCAUCAAACCAGGCUUCAAAUCUGCUUUUAACUGUGGUUUCCAGCUUCAGCUGGUACUGUGGUUAGAAUCAUUUCUCUACCAACCAUGGUUGCCUCCAAAAUGGAAAGGGGGUAUAGAAUGCUUGUACAAAAGGUGAGGAGGGAAGAGUGCUUGGUCAUAUGAUGCAGCAUUGCCUCUGUAGCAGGCCUAAAUGACAUCACAUGCAAACUGCUCUGAACCCAAAAGUUCCAUCUUAUUUUAAGCUUCAAACAAAUGAUUCAUAUUCCAGCUUUAGUUGACCAAGCUUCUAUGCGGUAGACUACUCCAAAAUGUUAAUAGACUGAAUGUGAAAAUAAAUAACUCCUCCACUUCAUGAGUUGCAUUCAGUUUUGUUUUUCAAUACACAAUUAAAGAUGUGCAAACACACAUAACAGUUGAAGCACUUCAGCUAUUUACCAUACGUUUUAUCUAUCCCUGUUUCCAUUUUCUGUAUCUAUAUUUGUCCUUAGUCAGUUUGUUCAAUCCCUAUCCCCUCUGCAUUUACUGUUUCAGUUUCCCCAGUAAGAGAGCAAUUCUCGCUGUUAUUGAUGAUGGAACAGGAGGUGUUUGGGCAUACACAUUCACACACAAGUAGGCACAUACACUGACUUUAGAAGAGCCAGACGUACUCUUCAGGAAGUGGUAUAUUGAAAAAUUGCAUGUUUCUCAUGAGAAGAGCCCUGCUUGUUCAGACCAAAUGCCUGUUUAGUUCAGCAUUCUAUUCCUAUGAGAAGCCCCUGAGUAGGACAUGCCCACAGUAGCACCCUCUCUUCUUAUGUGAAAGAAUUACCACGCUGAGCUCAUCUGUUAUUCUCAUUGUUGCUGCGAUUGUCUCAUUUUUUUAUUGCUGUUGAUCAGAUUUGUCUUCAAUGGAAACUAAGAAGAAUGUUAAAGGUUUGAAUGCAAGACUGAAUAUGGGGUGAUUUGAGCCUGCAUGCUGUCCUUGCAUUCUUAAGCAGUGAGCUUUUUUGAUGCAAUUAAUUUUAAGAGUUUUGCCAUUGUACACAAAAAGAAAAGGGCUAGGUUGCAGAGAGACAAUGGCAUUUAUGCAGUAUUUGCAUAUUUUCUUCUUUUUUCAAGUCUCAAUUUGCUUUUUGUCUGGCAAAUAAUUGGUUAAGAGGUCCCAAUAAUUGGUUAAGUGAUUAUAAAAUACUCGGGACUCCUUGAGCUUUUUAUUACUACCAAAGUACAAAUCAAUCAUUUACUUUUAUUUGCUUCUCAAUUCUUGUGACUUUAGCUGUUUUCUUUAAAGCACAAUUGGUAAAAUUAGGAUAUUGGCUUUUAAAAAUUACAGGAUUCACGUUCCAAAUAAAUUACCAAGUAGUUCAGUUCAGCUGGAACUCUAUAGGUACUCUUUUGUUUUUAUAUUGCGCUUUUGUAUACCGCUUAGAGAGUUUUUAAAGUAAUAAGCAAUUUAGAAAUACUAAUAAAUAUAUAACACUGGGUCCUAGGAGAUUGGGCCUUGUUAUGCUCUCCAUCCUACCUUCACAACAAAUUUAACCUCACAAAGGGGGGGAUCCUAAGAGAGCUCACCUGAGUAGUUAAAGAUAAUUCGCUGUAUAUAUUCAGCCAUUUACCUGACAGUCAUCAGCAAAAAGGUAAUUUCAGAUAAAAUGAUAUUUGUUUUUAACAUAGGCUGUUUUUGAUCUGAAUUGUAGAUAGGUUGCUACAAUAUUACCUUCAGUUUAUUUGCUUUGCUUGCCACUUCCCCUUGUGAACACAGAACUGUUUCUGCCAUGGACAAUUUUCAGACCACUGAAAGUACAUACUUGACCUAGCUUAUGAUAUGAAUCAUGAGGUCAAGUAUGUGUGAGAAGUAUUUUGGGAUGCGUUCCUUGCCAGUGGUCACACAUCUUCCAGUAAUCUGCUCUAGGCUAAUGGUCAAAAGUGCACUCAGUUGUGGCUGAAAUUACACUCUUCAGCAGAAGAGCCGCUUUGACCCAAGGAGUGCUCUUGUGCCCCUUUCAGAAUUGCUCUGCUUUUUAUUCCUGGAAAAACUGUGUAUGAAAACAACUUAUACUAAAUGUAGAUUAUAUAAUAUGCUGAUGUGCUUUACAAAUAUAUACAAGUGUUGAUUUAUAGCACCCCCUUGGCUCUAAAUGAGGCAUCAUGUCUGUUCCUUGGUACUUUGGGGAACAAAGGUAAAAUAUUGGUAUAACUGAA
rnacentral:lncRNA from 1 species